rnacentral:sRNA from 1 species
CUCUGAGUUAGAGUCGGUAAAGGAAAACAAGCCAUACAUAUUGCAGCAGAGCGGCUUUAACACAAGGAGCUGGCUACCCAGCUGUGGGAGGGCUAGAAAGCAAAUGGGAACGCUGAGUAACCUAGCAGUAGAGAUUUCAGGGAGCAGUUACCUUGCCUAGGGCUGAGAAACUAAACGAGAAGAUUAGGAUUUCCAGAAGCCACAAGCAUUGAGGAGAGAUCCUGUGGACCACUGUCCAAGUACGGCUGCAGCUCUGAGGGGCCCAAGGAGCUGGUUAUGGGAUCAUUGGGAAAAGUUGGAGUCUGCGAUCAACUGCCCCUACCGAGAGGACCCUGAUGAGAACAGCAGCAUGCAGAAAGGAGCAAGCCUGCUCUGUCCUCCUACCUUCCAGUCGCCCUCUUGGUCCCCCUUUUGGCUGUACCUAACAGUUGGAAAAAGGAGAACAUGGUUUGCAGGGCUCUGGCAUCACUUAGUAGAGGAUAGAAGAGUGAGUGUGGAGCAGGGACAGUCGCUUAAUAAAGGGCAAGGGGCUGACUCACAAGACCUGCCCAACUCAGCCAGGGCUCUUCUGCCAGGGGCCAGAAAGGCCAUAGGGCCCUGACUUGCACUGCCACUGCCAGCUGUGACUCUAGAACUUUGCAAAGCACCUUUCCACUUACUUAUAAUAACUGGUAGUAAGUGACGGCCAUGUCUUCCUUAGAAUGUAAAAUACUACCAAGGUAUCCGGGUUGCCGUGAGCAGGGUGAAGGACAGAGGACAGAAGGCCUUGGUUCUCGACAUUGGCACUGGCACGGGACUCUUGUCAAUGAUGGCGGUCACAGCAGGUGCCGACUUCUGCUAUGCCAUCGAGGAAAAUUGUGAGGCCGUGCCCCACAGAGCCACCGUCUAUGCACAGCUGGUGGAGUCCAGGAGGAUGUGGUCGUGGAACAAGCUAUUUCCCAUCCACGUGCAGACCAGCCUCGGAGAGCAGGUCAUCGUCCCUCCCAUGGACCUGGAGAGCUGCCCUGGCGCACCCUCUGUCUGUGACAUUCAGCUGAACCAGGUGUCACCAGCCGACUUUACAGUCCUCAGCGAUGUGCUGCCCAUGUUCAGCAUAGACUUCAGCAAGCAAGUCAGUAGCUCAGCAGCCUGCCAUAGCAGGCGGUUUGAACCUCUGACAUCUGGCCGAGCUCAGGUGGUUCUCUCGUGGUGGGACAUUGAAAUGGACCCUGAGGGGAAGAUCAAGUGCACCAUGGCCCCCUUCUGGGCACACUCAGACCCAGAGGAGAUGCAGUGGCGGGACCACUGGAUGCAGUGUGUGUACUUCCUGCCACAAGAGGAGCCUGUGAUGCAGGGCUCAGCGCUCUAUCUGGUAGCCCACCACGAUGACUACUGCGUAUGGUACAGCCUGCAGAGGACCAGCCCUGAAAAGAAUGAGAGAGUCCGCCAGAUGCGCCCCGUGUGUGACUGCCAGGCUCACCUGCUCUGGAACCGGCCUCGGUUUGGAGAGAUCAAUGACCAGGACAGAACUGAUCGAUACGUCCAGGCUCUGAGGACCGUCUCUCUCCUCCUGGGCGAGCCGUUCUUCACUACCAGCCUGCUGCCGUGGCACAACCUCUACUUCUGGUACGUGCGGACUGCUGUGGACCAGCACCUGGGGCCAGGUGCCAUGGUGAUGCCCCAGGCAGCCUCGCUGCACGCUGUGGUUGUGGAGUUCAGGGACCUGUGGCGGAUCCGGAGCCCCUGUGGUGACUGCGAAGGCUUCGACGUGCACAUCAUGGACGACAUGAUUAAGCGUGCCCUGGACUUCAGGGAGAGCAGGGAAGCUGAGCCCCACCCGCUGUGGGAGUACCCAUGCCGCAGCCUCUCUGAGCCCUGGCAGAUCCUGACCUUUGACUUCCGGCAGCCGGUGCCCCUGCAGCCCCUGUGUGCCGAGGGCACCGUGGAGCUCAGAAGGCCCGGGCAGAGCCACGCAGCGGUGCUAUGGAUGGAGUACCACCUGAUCCCGGAGUGCACGCUCAGCACUGGCCUCCUGGAGCCUGCAGACCCCGAGGGGGGCUGCUGCUGGAACCCCCACUGCAAGCAGGCCGUCUACUUCUUCAGCCCUGCCCCAGAUCCCAGAGCACUGCUGGGUGGCCCGCGGACUGUCAGCUAUGCGGUGGAGUUUCACCCCGACACAGGCGACAUCGUCAUGGAGUUCAGGCAUGCAGAUACCCCAGACUGACCACUCUUGAGCAAUAAAGUGGCCUGAGGGCUGGGGUUCUGAGUGGCUCAUGGCUUUCUAGGGGGGAAGGCUGAAGGCCCUCCUCUCCUCUCUGGGAGCUGCUCGGCCUCAGGGAUGGGAAAGACUGCGCCGUGUUGCAUCUUGUUGCAUCUUUGCACUGCUGGCCUCUGGCUCCAGCUGUGGCAGGAAGCAUGAGAGGGUGACUGAAUUUGGAGCCCUGGAGGGGCUGGGAAGACCCCCCCUGCUUGUGCUUCUGAGGUGCUGAGAAUGCUCCAACACAGAGACAUCUCUCCCCAGCUGGGAAGGGAGUGGAAGCACGGGGAGCUUGUGGAGCUGGCUGGUGGGGUUGUCCACGCCGCCCUUGGCGAGCAGUCCCCGUGGCGGGAGCCUGUCCUGUCUGUCCCACUCUCGAGGAUCUCCGGGUCCCUGCUCUUCUGGCUUCUGCUAGGAGGGUGGAGAUUUCUGGCCCUCUAGUGGGUGGAGAUGCUGAGUUGUGGCUGGGUCUCUGGGGCUUGAAGACCCUGGCUGGGCCCGGGCUGAGAGGCCUGGGUUCUGGCCCUUUCACCUGACAGGUAACUUCAAGCCACAGGUGUCUGGCCUCAGUGCUGCACCAGCUGGUGGCCUGCCAGGACCUGAGACUGGACACAAGGCAGCUGUCCCAGAGCAGUUCCUGAGAUGCAGGCCCAGGAAAGCGGCUGUCAGGGGAGCUGGGAGGCAGCCCUGUUCCCUGCACCUCCCUCAGAUUGGAAAGCCCCUCCUGCAGGUGGGGUAUGGCAGGGAGCAGCCCCUGCCCAGCGCCGCUUCACCAGGAAGGUCAGUAGGUGCCGUGGCCUUGCUUCUCUCACACACUAACCCCCCUUUGGUUAUGUCCCAGCUCUCAGAGGUAACAGCAGACACCACGUGAGAGAACCCAGUGGCCUCUGGCUCGCAGCUUAGGAGGUGAGGCUUGUGCCAGGCCAGCCGAGCUGCCUGUAUGAGCAGAGUUCUGGUGUCCUCGGAUUCAGGGCAGACUUGGGCAGCGCCUGUCCUGCAGUUGGGGGCAGGAACUCCCUCCCCUGCCCCCAGGCGUGCCCCUGAGGCCUGGCCACAGCUUGUCGCUGAAAUAAGUGGAGAACACCAGCCUUGAGCCUCACAGUUUUAUUUUCUCCUCGUUAUCCAUCCUUCCUUUCAGCACCAGUAAGGAAAAAGAACACCUCUCUUUGCAAAAUAUUUUAUCAGGUGUAAAGACUUGUUUUUCUUCUAGGGAAGAACCGUCUGGAUAUAUAUUUGAUAAUGUUUUUACCAAAACCAUAGGUGUGCUUACCAUAGAAAACCCCUAAUGUCCCAUGAAGAUACAAUACAGAAAAAAAUACAGAAAUU